CCUACGGGAGGCAGCAGUGGGGAAUAUUGGGCAAUGGGCGCAAGCCUGACCCAGCAACGCCGCGUGAAGGAAGAAGGCUUUCGGGUUGUAAACUUCUUUUGUCAGGGAAGAGUAGAAGACGGUACCUGACGAAUAAGCCACGGCUAACUACGUGCCAGCAGCCGCGGUAAUACGUAGGUGGCAAGCGUUGUCCGGAUUUACUGGGUGUAAAGGGCGUGUAGCCGGGUUGACAAGUCAGAUGUGAAAUCCUGCGGCUUAACCGCAGAACUGCCUUUGAAACUGUUGAUCUUGAGUACGGGAGAGGCAGAUGGAAUGCGUAGUGUAGCGGUGAAAUGCGUAGAUAUUAGGAGGAACACCAGUGGCGAAGGCGGUCUGCUGGACAGCAACUGACGGUGAGGCGCGAAAGCGUGGGGAGCAAACAGGAUUAGAUACCCGAGUAGUC
rnacentral:rRNA from 1 species